AAUACUCGCCGUGUGGUGGCCAGUGGUCAGAAAGCGUCAGUCGUUGGAACAGGUGGAGUAACUCGUUCAUUGCUGGACUAUUUCGUCGUUUUCUUUACAAUACUGAAGCCUCUGGCUUAUCUACUGUGUUUUGAUGGAUUAUUGAAGUGAAUGAUAAUAGAGACUUUAGAAAUAACUGACAUUAUUGGUAUAUAAACGGUGGUGAUGUGUCAACAAAUCGCAAUUGACUGGACCCAAACACCGACAGGCUGUACACAAGUCUCCUGCAGAUGAUGAUUGAUCCUCCACUGGCAAUUUCAUUUGGACACUGUAAGGAGGAUAAGAAGAAGUGUGGGAUAUUGUACAGAGGAUUACAAAAUAGUUUGGUGGUCUGAAGAUUAGAGAAAAGGGCAGUGUCCAAAGGAAAGGCUGCAGUGGAACACAAACUUGCCGAUUUGAAGAAGAUGGAGCAGAACUGCAUCACCUUAGUGUCGGUGGUGGGCACUCUUGGCGGCCUCAUGAUACUAGCAAUCCUCGCUACCCUCUGCUUCUCUGUCAGCAAGAGACACUCAGGAAUCAAAAAGACUCCCGUUAGCAGAGAUAACAGGAAGAAGUAAAGUUGGACGGACAAACAAGCCUCAGGAACUAACUCGUUCGUAAGUAGAGGAGCAUCUAUAUACAGGUGGGUGAUGAUUUAUUCUUGUCAAAAAAUUAUCAAUGAAGGAACUGUUUUCUCCAUGUAUAAACUUUGAUUGAUCAAACUUUCAGUAAGUUGUUAGCAGGGAUGGCAUAAGGAUGCUAUUGGAAAAAAAUAUUUUCUGCUUGUUGGUUAUCCUUGGUCAUAUUGACUAAAUGUCAGUUAUGGAUACAUAAUAAAUUAGAUGCUUUUUCAGCAGAUGCAGCUCACCAACUUACAAUAGGCUAACUUAACUUACAACGUGCUUUCAGUAGUCUAUGUUGAACCAUAUGACAGUCAUCUGAGUAAAAACUCGCACAAUAUUCAUUGACUGUCCUAUGUGUUAGACUUUACCGCCAUUGGUGAAUAGAAUUUUAGUUUUACAUUUGUAAAUAUUAUUUAAAACAUAUAUGAACAGCAAAUAAGUGUUGCUUUCAUAUUCAUAUGUAGAGAAAUGACAU